GGCGCGCGCGUGUAACCGAUCCGGCGGAGAACGGCCGUUACGGUGUCGAGUCGUUGCCGUAGUAUAAAUAUUGUAGUCAGUGGCAACGUGACCGUUCGCGCACGCCGUUCACCGUCGCGCUGGCACACAUAGUAUAAUAUUGUCGUCUACGCGCGAUACUAAUACGUUACAACACCCGUCGCACUCGCGUCGCAUAGUAUUGUUAUUAUUCACGCCGGACGGUCUGUCGUCUUCCGCGCCCGCGUGCGUUUUCCGGCAAGUCCGCGUUUGACACGCGUGUCUACCCGCUGCCCCCCCGACUAUACCUACGUUCUUCCGAUGCGCGUUUCUGCGGCCGUUGCCGACUGCUGCAGUGUUCUUCGCGCUCCGAACUAAGUGGCCCUACGCCCUUACACCGAUUCGAUUAUCGCUAGCGCAACCACACGGGAGCUUUCGCCGUGACUAUCGCUACCGUUUGAUUUUUUCGCGUUUGUGCGCGAGUGUUUGUUUGUGUGCAUCCUGUGCAUUCGCGUGUGCGCGUGCACGUCCAACUGGAUAUCCUAACGGCGCCGGCGACGAUGGAGACCGAAGAGAUCACCAAACUCGUAGAUGGCAUCUACAAGAACAUAUUGGAGAAGUUCAAUCCAGGUGCCCGGCAAAUGAUUAACGCGGGCAAGGCAUAUCUGAAAGCACUUCAAGGAGCCGCUUCAGCUUCCAAAUUAUAUACGGACGCCAUAAUGAGAUUGGCCAGACAAUCACAGCAAGGAACUUGGGGAGGAUCAGCCGAUAUUGGUUCAGCACUUAUGCAGAUCGUUGAGGUUUACAAGGAAAUCCAAUCACAGCAGCUAAACAUCCUGAAAGCGUUUUAUGUGGAUUUGCUAUUGCCGCUGGAGACAAAUCUCGAAAAGGAUACCAAAGUUGUGCAGUCCGAACAAAAACGAUUUUUGCAACAACAUAAACAAAGAUCUGAAAGUUAUAGCAAGGCUGCAUCAGCUAUGAAAAAGUGCCGUAAAAAGCAUAAGGUUGGACCCAAAGCAGGAUUGGCCAUGGAUAAAGAAAUUAAGACUAUGCAAAUCCUAGAAGAAGAAAAAUCUAAAUUGGAUAACUUUUGCGAACAAAGUUUGAAAAAUGCCAUGACACAGGAGAGACGUAGAUACGGUUUCGUGUUAGAAAGACAGUGUUCGUUGGUUAAACACUGUCUAGCGUAUCAUACCAACACGCAGUCAAUGUACGAUGAACAUCUUAAUGAUUGGCUCGAAGUGGCUAAGUCUCGAGAACGAUUGCCAGACUCUGUUGAAACCAUGUUUGCAACAAAACUUCGACAAGUAAGCUUCUGGCUGGAUGAUGAUGUUAGUUCUCCACGAAUCGACGAUGAUAGGAUUUCGAUGUCAUCACAAUUGAGAAAAACGAAAUCAAUGGAUGCGUCUUGCUUGGAUGUUCGAGCCAUGAAUGACAUAUCCAGUCCGGUUUUAAAUUAUCCGCUUUCUAGAGCCAAAUCAGAUUUCAAUUUGAACGCAUCAUCACAGUCUCUGAACAGAAUGGAGAACGGGUCCAGUCCGGGAAAUAAUGGAUCUAGACCAAAGUCGAUGGCAGUAGUUGAUAACGGAUGGGAAUCUCAGGGUGCAAAUCUUGUGCAAGCAACACAUGCUUAUCUGUCGAGCGGUGAAAAUCAACUAAGCUUCCACGAAGGAGACACAAUCGCUAUAUCAGGGGAACGGAACAAAGGAUGGCAAUUUGGAGAGAAUUUACGUACUCAGUGUAGUGGUUGGUUCCCGUUAACGUAUACCGAACCCGUAAUGGAAGACUCAGUCUUUUCCGACUCGCCGUCAUCAUAUCGACGAAAGGAUUCCAUGGGCCAGUCCACCGUCUCGAACCACAACAGAAGUGAAUCAGCAACCAUCGGCAAACAAAACCGUUAUCAAACUACAACACUUACGAGAUUCGGUGAUUCUUUGUCUCACAGAAAUCCAUAUCCGGCACGGUCCAGGGCGAACAGUAGAUCGAAUGGUUACGGGAUCAACUCGCACGGGCCUCCGCCUCCGUCCGUUCCAGCUCCGGUAGUGCCCCGUCAGUAUGGAGGGCACAUACCACCCCCGGUGGCGUUUUUCCCUCCACCACCGCAGACAUUGCCACCUGCGCCGGGAAAACCAAUCGCGAUCGACAAGAGAACCGGUGGAGUUCACCACCAACACGGUAACGCGAGCUUGCACAGCAGCAACGACAGCGGUUUCAGUAACGAUCCGCCGCCGGCGCCCGAAAUUGACUAUUCGGAUGACGAAAACGCGAGAACGAUCAAAGAUCCGAAGAAGGACGCGCGUUCCAAACAAGCUGCGUCUUACAGCAGGUCACCCGAAGAGGACCGCGGUUACCAUCGUCAAGGUCAUCAUCACAGCCAGACGUUGACGAUGACGAUGGGCGGCCGACAGUCAACGGGAACGAUGAAGUCGUCGUACAACGGCGGUGGCGGCGGGAUGAACACUGGCAGGCGGAACACCGGCACGUCGUCCAUGCGGCAGAGCACAAGCGUCGGCCACCUGUCGUCGUUUGGCGGCGACGGAAACUCGCUGUCCAGGCAGGUGAAUUCUGCGUACGAUAACGAAGACGACGACGGGAGCACCAUGCAGGGCAAGAAGAUCAAGAGGACAAAGUCCAUGUGGAAGUUCAAGAAGUCCGGUUCGAGCGACGAAGUGCUGUUGACCGGCAUGUCCAUGUGGAAGCACAGGUCACUGGUGGACGUGAACGCCGCGGACGCGGAAGAGCAGCAGCAGCUGCAGCACAACAACGGUUACAACAACAAGUCGUCGGCGGGCACACCGGUCGCCAACAAGAAGUUUACGGUGGCGUCGCGGGACAUCGACAUAGCCGCGGACGACGACGACAGCCAGACGAUAAUGAACGGUGGCGUGGGCGGGGGGUCGUCGACGGUGCGGCGGAUGACGUACGACAACCGUAAACAGCAGCCGCAGCAACAGCAACAGCAACCGCUGCAGCAGCAUCGGAGCAGGAGAUCGUCCUCGUCGAGUUUCGGCGGCGGCGACGACUCCGAGUCGUGCAUCGUGGUGGACGAUCACCUGAAGGACGUCAGAUCGGCACCGCCGCCGCCCGCCAGCCUGUUGCCCAGGACCCGGUUGAUUAAGCAGACGGCCGGGAAAGACGGUCAAGGGAACGGUGGCAUGCAGCCGCCGUCCGCGGCCGCGCACCAACACCACCACCACCAUCACCACAACCAGCAACCGGCCACCAUGAUGAUGAUGAUGCCGCCGCCUCCGCCGCCGCCUCCCGCUGUCCGGACCGCGACUGCGGACGACGGGUACGCGCCACACGACUCGGACGCGGACGUCCGGUUUGAGAGCUCCAAACUCCAGACGUUCAAGUACAUCAACGCGACGCACAACGACGGCUGGUACGACUCGUGGGGAGAGAAGCGAAAGAAGUAGGACGCCAAAGGUAAAACCCCGCCUCCGUAUGCGACUUAUCGGCGUAUACAAUAUAUGACGAACGUGUUUGCGACGAUCAAACUGCGCAAGACCAACACCAACGACCGAUCAGCGCCGAAGAUCAUAUAAUUCUAUAACGAUAUUAUUCGCCACCAACCGGAAAGACCAAUCGUAUGGAGGAUAUUGUGUGCCGGCAUAAUAUUUUUCUACAUUUUUUUUUUCUACAAGUCACGUUAUCAUGUUAAGUGAACAGUUCUCUUCGAAAUUUAUAUUAUAUUAUUAUCAUAACAUUAUUAUAUUAUAUACUAUAUUAUUGUAUUAUUAUUAUUAUUAUUAUUAGUUAGUCGUUUUACGUACCGGGACAAAAAAAAAAAAUCACUGUACAUUGUACACGCUCGAUGAUAUGUGCAGGCCGAACAUUGCUCAACUAAAUCUAAUAGCGUCCGAACUCCACGUGUACACGACCGUUGUUGAAACGUUGCGUACAGUUAUGGGUUACAUAUGUAGGUAUUCAAUAAUAUAUAAGUAUUUAUCAUGACGUAUAUAUUGUUUUAGGUGAGGUCACGCGAUUGUGAUUUGUUUUUUCACUUCCUCUUUUCUUUUUACCAACCAGGCGACCGCCGCCGAUCCUAAAUGAUAAUACAAACAUAUAUAUAUAUACCUACUAUGUAUUAUUAUGUUAUUAGGUACCAUAGGUAUACGUUUUUAUUUUUCAAUUCGCUUUCUUCGGCAGAUACAUAAUACAACAGGCUAGAUAUUGUUAGAGAAUCAAUGAAAUAUCUGUUAAAAUAUGGGCUAGGCGCCUACAAUAAUAGCUAUCAAUGCUUACUCGGACCGCGUAUAGGCCGUAUAAAUUACUCGCGUCUUUGUCGAUAACAACAGUGAUAAUAAUAUACGCGUCGUCACGUUGUUUUAGCCAAUUUUUGUUUCGUUAAUAUGGUACACAGACAUUUCAAACGCAAUUUUGCAAAUGUGUACACAUAGUAAUACAAUUAUUAUUCUAUCAUAAUAUUAUAGGCACUUAAUUAUUAACGUUUUUGUUUGUUCUAUAAAAUAUGUUAUAUUAUUACAUUUCUAUAUUAUAAUAUUACCUAUUCUUGCGUUCCGUCCGUGUCGAACAUAAUUGGUUAUUACAAUAUAUCAUAUAUAUUAUAGGCAGGCAGGCAUUAAACUUUACGGCGCAAAGUAAAUAAUAUGUCUCUAAGGCAAAGUUUACGCGAGCAUAUUAUACCAUUUAUUAUUAUAUAAUAUUCGUCAUAAACUAUAUUAUUAAGUGUAAUGAUAUGGACUCGAUAUAAUAUAUAUCACGAAAAAAUGAUUACCACCGGUGAUGAUAUUAUAACAUACCUAAUAUUUUCAUAACAUAUGUUACAAUAUAGUAUCACAAUAAUUUAUCGGAUAGGUACAUAACAUUAUUAUGCACUACAUAUACUGCAGCCAUAUUAUAUAGACUCCGAUCUAAUGUACCCAUAAUAAUAAUAAUAUAAUAUGUAUCAUUUCACGGUGACGUAACGAUUCAAUCGUAACAUCGCCAAAAUCGUUAUAUCCAUUACGCAACUGCAGCACAGGUGCAUACUAUACUGCAGAGACCCUAUACUUAAUAUAUCACACGUACGUUUACCGAUUUUCUAACUCGAUUCGAUAUAUCGUCAGUAGGUAAGCAGGUAUAUACACGAGGCUUCAGGUUAUUGUAUUUCGUACCCAGUCGUUUCCCCAAUCUGAUCGUCGUCGUCGUCGUCAGAGUAUAAAAUAAGCGUAAAGGACAGUGUCGGAUUUAUCGCGGGUACGCAGGCGUCUAGAUUUUUCAACUUUGUAAAUUGAUAGAUUGUCAAGAACGCCGAAUAUUGGCCAAGGAGAAUAGUCUCUUGAGAAAUUAAUCGCACCCGUUUAUUUUAAAAAUAUUACGUGGGUACUCAGUUUUAUUCCUCUUGUGACGACUCGAUUUCAAGGAACGCAUAAGUCACAAGAUACCUCCCUAUAGUUGAAAUUUUUUUUUUUUAAUCCGUCUUCACUUUUAUUGAAUACCAAAAAUAAAUAAAUAUGAUUAAUGCAUCAAAUUACUUGAAAAAAGCAUUUUUUUUUUUUUUUUUGUUAAGAAACUACCAAUUUUAAUAGGUGCUACCCGGCCUUAGAUCCGACACUGAGUCUAAACAUGUGUUCAGUUUAUUUGUUGCGUCCAUUAUAAAAUACACAGCCUACGGUCCAUCGCGUAUACCGUGUCACGUCUCGUGUCGAUAAGUCCAUAUUAUAAUCAUUAAACAUUUUUUAAAAUAAUAAUUUUUGAGGGUCUGCCCAACUGGGUAAUAAUAUUUAAGCCAUCGUGGUACCUAUGCAGUUUAUUCGUUAACGAGUUGUAGCCGCUAUGUUGUGUAUCGUUAAUCUUAUCAAUUUUUUAUGCGCUUUUGUUUUUUGUUUUUCAUUUUUCGCCUGUAAAUAUAAUAUUAUUGAAUAAUCGUUUAUACUAUAACUAUAUAGUAUAUACAGCUGCUUACUAAAAUAUUAUUAUAAUAUUAAGAUCGGCGUUAAUUUUGUGUUUGUUGUUAUUAUUAUUACCAUCGUGGUUAUUUGAAGAAUAAUUUUUAUAACAAUAUUAUGAUAUUAAAAUUGCAUGUACCUAUAUAAAUUAUAAUUACCGGCAAUGUUUAAAAAAUGUUAAAUUUUACUAAAAAAUACUGUUAUUUUGGUUUCUGUGCAAUCGAACAUUUUAUAAUUUGUAUCUGUAAUACAAUCUAUAUAAUAUAAUAUUACAAUCGCAUUAUAUAAUAUUAUUACAAUUACAACAGUAAUAUUAUUUCGCCGUUUGAUAGAUUUUUGUAUGUAUAAUUAUUUUAAAAUUUAUAUAGGUAGGUACUACCUGCUACUCGUAUCUACUAUUUUUUUAUUUAUUUUUUUUUUUUAUUUUAAUUGUAUUUAUGUAAAUUGAAGGUACACGGGAUAUAUUAUUAUUAUUAUUAUUAUUAUUAUCAUCAAUCAAAGAGUCUGGACGGGUAGUGCAAACGGACGUGAAACACUGAAACGUAAAUCGUUAUUUGCAUUAAAAACAUUUGCUAAAUUUUUAAAAACGUGAAAAUUUGGACAAAUCUUUUAUUGGCUCGACACGUAUAAUAUAUUACAACGUAUGGUAUUUACUAAUACAUACUGUACAGUUAUCGGGCUAGUCAUAUCGGUCUUAGUUUCGUUUUCGAAAUACGAGUGUACGACCGCGCCUGACUCUUUUGUUAUAUUAUAUUAUUAUAUAUAUUUUUAAUCAAAUACUGUUAUUAUAAUGUAAUCAAUAAUUAGUUGAAAAUGCAUAAAUAUUUUAUUCAUGUA